rnacentral:rRNA from 1 species
CAGUCGCCGCGGUAAAACGUAGGGGGCAAGCGUUAUCCGGAAUAACUGGGCGUAAAGGGUGCGCAGGUGGUUUAACAAGUUAGUGGUGAAAGGCAUAGGCUCAACCAAUGUAAGCCAUUAAAACUGUUUAACUUGAGUGCAGGAGAGGAAAGUGGAAUUCCUAGUGUAGCGGUGAAAUGCGUAGAUAUUAGGAGGAAUACCAGUGGCGAAGGCGACUUUCUGGACUGCAACUGACACUGAGGCACGAAAGCGUGGGGAGCAAACAGGAUUAGAGACCCCCGUAGUCCCUGUCCUUAUACAC